UACGGAGGGAGCUAGCGUUGUUCGGAAUUACUGGGCGUAAAGCGCACGUAGGCGGCGAUUCAAGUCAGGGGUGAAAUCCCGGGGCUCAACCCCGGAACUGCCUCUGAAACUAGAUUGCUAGAAUCCUGGAGAGGCGAGUGGAAUUCCGAGUGUAGAGGUGAAAUUCGUAGAUAUUCGGAAGAACACCAGUGGCGAAGGCGACUCGCUGGACAGGUAUUGACGCUGAGGUGCGAAAGCGUGGGGAGCAAACAGG
rnacentral:rRNA from 2 species